GCCCAGUUAAAUUUGAAUUUCAGAUAAACAAGGAAGAAUUUUUAGUUUAAGUAUACCUUGUGCGAUAUUUGGGACAUACUUAUACUAAAAAAUUAUUAUUUGUUUGUCUGAGAUUCAAAUUUAACUGAGUGUCCUGUA
ensembl:miRNA